GAUGAACGCUGGCGGCGUGCUUAACACAUGCAAGUCGAACGGGACUUGUUAAGUUGAAACUUCGGUCGAUUCUUUCAAGUCUAGUGGCGGACGGGUGAGUAACGCGUGGGUAACCUGCCUCACACUGGGGGAUAACAGUCAGAAAUGACUGCUAAUACCGCAUAAGCGCACAGCAUCGCAUGAUGCAGUGUGAAAAACUCCGGUGGUGUGAGAUGGACCCGCGUCUGAUUAGCUGGUUGGUGGGGUAACGGCCCACCAAGGCGACGAUCAGUAGCCGGCCUGAGAGGGUGAACGGCCACAUUGGGACUGAGACACGGCCCAA
rnacentral:rRNA from 1 species